GACGAACGCUGGCGGCGUGCUUAACACAUGCAAGUCGAACGGAAAGGCCCUGCUUUUGUGGGGUGCUCGUGUGGCGAACGGGUGAGUAACACGUGAGUAACCCUCCCUUGACUUUCGGAUAACUCCAUGAAACUGGGGAUAAUACCGGAUAGGAGCUCCUGCUCCAUGUGGUGGGUUGGAGAGAUUCGGCGGUUGGAGCUGUACUCGCGGGUUAUCAGCUUGUUGGUGGGGUAGUGGCUUACCAAGGCUUUGACGGGUAGGCGGCCUGAGAGGGUUACCGGCCACAUUGGGACUGAGAUAGGGCGCAGACGCCUACGGGAGGCAGCAGUGGGGAGUAUGGCGCAGUGGGCGGAAGCCUGAUGCGACGGCGCCGCGUGCGUGAUGAUGGCCUUCGGGUUGUGAACAGCUUUCGCCUGUGACGAGGCGUGAGUGACGGUAACGGGUAAAGAAGCACCGGCUAACUACGUG
rnacentral:rRNA from 1 species